rnacentral:rRNA from 1 species
GACGAACGCUGGCGGCGUGCUUAACACAUGCAAGUCGAACGGAAAGGCCCUGCUUUUGUGGGGUGCUCGAGUGGCGAACGGGUGAGUAACACGUGAGUAACCUGCCCUUGACUUUGGGAUAACUUCAGGAAACUGGGGCUAAUACCGGAUAGGAGCUCCUGCUGCAUGGUGGGGGUUGGAAAGUUUCGGCGGUUGGGGAUGGACUCGCGGCUUAUCAGCUUGUUGGGGGGGUAGUGGCUUACCAAGGCUUUGACGGGUAGCCGGCCUGAGAGGGUGACCGGCCACCUUGGGACUGAGAGACGGCCCAGACUCCUACGGGAGGCAGCAGUGGGGAAUAUUGCACAAUGGGCGGAAGCCUGAUGCAGCAACGCCGCGUGCGGGAUGACGGCCUUCGGGGUGUAAACCGCUUUCGCCUGUGACGAAGCGUGAGUGACGGUAAUGGGUAAAGAAGCACCGGCUAACUACGUG